AACGAACGCCGGCGGCAUGCCUAACACAUGCAAGUCGAACGAGACCUUCGGGUCUAGUGGCGCACGGGUGCGUAACGCGUGGGAACCUGCCCUUAGGUUCGGAAUAACUCCCCGAAAGGGGUGCUAAUACCGGAUAAUGUCUUCGGACCAAAGAUUUAUCGCCUUUGGAUGGGCCCGCGUUGGAUUAGCUAGUUGGUAGGGUAAAAGCCUACCAAGGCGACGAUCCAUAGCUGGUCUGAGAGGAUGAUCAGCCACACUGGGACUGAGACACGGCUCAGACUCCUACGGGAGGCAGCAGUGGGGAAUAUUGGACAAUGGGCGAAAGCCUGAUCCAGCAAUGCCGCGUGAGUGAUGAAGGCCUUAGGGUUGUAAAGCUCUUUUACCCGGGAUGAUAAUGACAGUACCGGGAGAAUAAGCUCCGGCUAACUCCGUG
rnacentral:rRNA from 1 species